rnacentral:lncRNA from 1 species
CGCGUUUCGUCUACAUAAGACUCAUCAGUGACGCUCAUAUCAAAAUAUUUAUAAAGCCAAACAAUUACAAAGUUGAAGACAAAUUAACAUGUUCGUUUGCUAACUCUAUAGCACAAUGAGCUAAUUUGACCAAGGCAUUGGUGUCCAGCGACUUUUUUUAUGCCCCACCUACGAUAGUAGAGGGGCAUUAUGUUUUCUGGUCUGUGCGUCCGUUCGUCCGUCUGUUCGUUCGUCCGUCUGUCCCGCUUCAGGUUAAAGUUUUUGGUCAAGGUAGUUUUUGAUGAAGUUGAAGUCCAAUCAACUUGAAACUUAGUAUACAUGUGCCCUAUGAUAUGAUCUUUCUAAUUUAAAUGCCAAAUUAGAGUUUUGACCCCAAUUUUACGGUUCACUGAACAUAGAAAAUGAUAGUGCAAAUUUCAGGUUAAAGUUUUUGGUCAAGGUAGUUUUUGAUAAAAUAGAAGUCCAAUCAACUUGAAACUUAGUAUACAUGUUCCCUUUGAUAAGAUCAUUCUAAUUUUAAGGCCAAAUUAGAGAAUUUAUUCUAAUUUCACGGUCCAAUAAACAUAGAAAAUGAUAGUGCGAGUGGGGCAUCCGUGUACUGUGGACACAUUCUUGUUUAGAAUUGCUUCUAUUCUUUCUAUGUCAACACCGAAACUUUUUGUUAUACAUUUGAUGAGAUCGUCCCGAUCAAGUGUAUCUAAGGAUUCUGCGGUAAAUCUAUGCAACUCUUCCACAUGUGCAGCAUUAUGAAACUUUAUGACACUACAUAAGGGGUUGGUAGGGAACCCUUCGUUAACAUAUAUGGUAUCCUAUAUUAAGAUACCCCAAUCUAUUUAUUUAUGGUAUGGUAUCUAUGGUAGGGAACCUCCCAUCAACAUUUACUUGGACAAAUUUAUAAUUGUUAGAUAUUUAUGAUCUGAAUAGUCCAGACUAGGUAUACUAUAUGUGGUUUAUUUAUCAUUGACAUUUUUUUCUUCUAAGAUUUGAAACUUGGAUUGCAUUGAUCUGGGGGAAAAAACGAAACAUGUUAUUUUGAUAUUUGUCAAUUAUAUAUACAAAGGGGAAUAACUCACAAUCCAUCCAAAAAUGACUAUUGUAAAAUUUAGAUUUUGAUUUAAAGAUAAAUAUCGUUAAUAUGGGAUUUUGAGUACUUCUACUACCAUAACUAGAAUGUGUUAAUGUUUGUGUAAGUCCAGGGACAAAUUUAACAUGCACAUUACAGACGAAAAAAGAUAAACAAAUACAAAACGCCAAAUACGUUUUUGUUAAAAGUUGAACCAGAUAAAAGGUGAGAAAAUUAAGUAAUUAAAAAAAAAAUUAAGAAACACAUACGUACCCACAUUCUUCUCUACCUCCCUCAAUAUUCUCGUUACAGUGUGAAGCGCACGAAUCACACCAAAGGGGAUAUCUGCAUUCCGUCUCCUUUGAAAUUUGUGAAAAGUACCCUAGAAAAUUAGAAAAAAAGGAAAUAGUUCAAUUGUUUUGUAGACGAAACGCGCGUCUGGCGUACAUAUAAAAUUAGGCAUGAUUUCAAUGAUGGGUUUAUUUAUUAAUAUAAACCCUAAUCGUAUUACGAAAAAAAAAUAUCUAUUUUCAUAUCGAAUAUCGUUUCAUGUUGUACAAAUCAGAUU